UGUCAAAGUUAAAGUCAUUUUGGCUGGGGAGAUUUCUUGUUUUCAAUAAGGCCGAGCUUUUGUUGCGACCAGCGAGAAAUCUAGUUAGCUCUUCUCAUUUAAAAAAAAUUAGCGCUAGUUCUGUUUCUACUCCUGAAACAAAUGUUUUACGCUAUUAUGAGGCUCAACAAAACUUUCGAAAAGAAAAUACUACUAUCUGCACGCUUUAUGUGCUCAGUGCAUUUGUAUUUUUCAUUGGAGGCACUUACGCUUUUGUUCCAGUUUACAAGCUAGUUUGUCAACAAACGGGGAUUGUUGGAAGCUUGAAACGCAAGGAGGUUGAUUUUUCUAAUGUCACUCCCGUACUUGAAAGACCUUUGAAAGUUCGUUUCCUAAGCGAUAUUAGCAAAAAUAUGAACUGGAAAUUUUAUCCCGAGCAACAGUAUGUAAAUGUUUAUCCAGGAGAAACUGCUUUGGCUUUUUACAAGGCAAAAAGCAAUUCUGACAGAGCAAUCACAGGUUUAAGCACAUACAACGUCAUCCCAUUUAAUGCAGCGCAAUACUUUACCAAAAUUCAGUAGUGUUUUUGCUUUGAGGAGCAACGCCUGUUACCUAAUGAAGAAGUAGACAUGCCGGUUCUUUUUUCUAUUGAUCCAGAGUACGUCAACGAUCCGGAAUUAGCUCAUGUGAACGAGAUAACUCUUUCUUAUACGUUUUUUGAGUCUAAAAACUUUAACUAUGAAGAGUGGCUAAAAAAGCAACCGGA